rnacentral:lncRNA from 1 species
CACCAUACAGUAAAUAAUGUAUAGUAAAGUAAUUUCUUAAAGUAUGAGGGUCAAUUCCACAUCAUACUUUAAGUAAGAAUAAAUUUGCGAUAAAGUAAAAGCAAUUAUUGGUGGGUUCUUAUCAACACCACGAUCAAAUAAUAUAUAUGUUGUCAACUGGAAUUGCCUCCCCUUUUUUCCUUUUUCUUUUUUUUUUUAGUGCUCGUCAGCCUUCACGUUUGUCCAUAAUUUCGUAAAUAAAAUUGAUGAACAUGAACCUGCACAAGUUCCUCCUGUACACCUUCACUUGCUUUUUAUGAUCAAUAUAAUUGUAUAAUAUUAAAGAUAAAAUA